rnacentral:pre_miRNA from 1 species
CACAUUAAGCAGCUGAAGCUGCCAGCAUGAUCUGAUAUCUUUGUUUUUAAGCUCCUCCUCCUAGUGAUGAAAGGUUUGGCAACUUUGGAUGCCUAGAUUCAGAUCGUGCUGUGCAGUUUCACCUGCUCAUUGG